rfam:Stegodyphus mimosarum contig82861, whole genome shotgun sequence.
GCCUUCGUGGUGUAGUGGUCAGCACGCUCGACGCGUAACCGAGAGGUCCGUGGUUCAAUUCCCGGCGAAGACG